AGAGUUUGAUCCUGGCUCAGGAUGAACGCUGGCGGCAUGCCUAAUACAUGCAAGUCGAACGAGGGUCCUUCGGGACCCGAGCGGCGAACGGGUGAGUAACACGUAGGGAACCUGCCCGUGCGACCGGGAGAACUUUCGGAAACGGAAGCUGAUACCGGAUAGGGACAGAGACGGCAUCGACUCUGUGUUAAAGGAGCUGAAAGGCUCCGCGCACGGAUGGACCUGCGGUGCAUUAGCUAGUUGGUGAGGUAACGGCCCACCAAGGCGACGAUGCAUAGCCGGCCUGAGAGGGCGGACGGCCACACUGGGACUGAGACACGGCCCAGACUCCUACGGGAGGCAGCAGUAGGGAAUUUUCGUCAAUGGGCGCAAGCCUGAACGAGCAAUGCCGCGUGAACGAGGAAGGUCUUCUGAUCGUAAAGUUCUGUUGAAGGGGAAAAAGAGCGGAGAGAGGAAAUGAACUCCGAUUGAUAUUACCCUUCGAGGAAGUCACGGCUAACUACGUGCCAGCAGCCGCGGUAAUACGUAGGUGGCGAGCGUUAUCCGGAAUGAUUGGGCGUAAAGGGUGCGUAGGCGGCCUGCUAAGUCUGGAGUGAAAGGUACCGGCUCAACCGGUACAGGCUCUGGAAACUGGCGGGCUAGAGAGCAGGAGAGGGCGGUGGAACUCCAUGUGUAGCGGUAAAAUGCGUAGAUAUAUGGAAGAACACCAGUGGCGAAGGCGGCCGCCUGGCCUGUUACUGACGCUGAGGCACGAAAGCGUGGGGAGCAAAUAGGAUUAGAUACCCUAGUAGUCCACGCCGUAAACGAUGAGGACCAAGUGUUGGGGAAGACCCAGUGCUGCAGUUAACGCAGUGAGUCCUCCGCCUGGGGAGUAUGCACGCAAGUGUGAAACUCAAAGGAAUUGACGGGGGCCCGCACAAGCGGUGGAGUAUGUGGUUUAAUUCGAAGCAACGCGAAGAACCUUACCAGGCCUUGACAUAGGGUGCGAAGCUAUGGAGACAUAGUGGAGGUAAACAUCCAUACAGGUGGUGCAUGGUUGUCGUCAGCUCGUGUCGUGAGAUGUUCAGUUAAGUCUGGCAACGAGCGCAACCCUCGUGAUGUGUUACCAAUAUCGAGUUAGGGACUCACAUCAGACUGCCGGUGAGAAACCGGAGGAAGGCGGGGAUGACGUCAAAUCAUCAUGCCCCUUAUGGCCUGGGCUACACACGUACUACAAUGGCGGCGACAGAGGGCAGCGAGCCUGCGAAGGCAAGCGAAUCCCCAAAAAGCCGUCCCAGUUCGGAUUGGAGUCUGCAACCCGACUCCAUGAAGUUGGAAUCGCUAGUAAUCGCGGAUCAGCAUGCCGCGGUGAAUACGUUCUCGGGCCUUGUACACACCGCCCGUCAA
rnacentral:rRNA from 1 species